CACACGACUCUCAGCAACGGAUAUCUCGGCUCUCGCAUCGAUGAAGAAUGUAGCAAAAUGUGAUACCUGGUGUGAAUUGCAGAAUCCUGCGAACCAUCGAGUUUUUGAACGCAAGUUGCGCCCGAGGCCUUCUGGCUGAGGGCACGCCUGCCUGGGCGUCAUGC
rnacentral:rRNA from 1 species